AGACGGUUUCGGCUGUCACUUAUAGAUGGACCCGCGCCGUAUUAGCUAGUUGGUAAGGUAACGGCUUACCAAGGCGACGAUACGUAGCCGACCUGAGAGGGUGAUCGGCCACACUGGAACUGAGACACGGUCCAGACUCCUACGGGAGGCAGCAGUAGGGAAUCUUCCGCAAUGGGCGAAAGCCUGACGGAGCAACGCCGCGUGAGUGAUGAAGGUCUUCGGAUCGUAAAACUCUGUUGUUAGGGAAGAACAAAUUUGUUAGUAACUGAACAAGUCUUGACGGUACCUAACCAGAAAGCCACGGCUAACUACGUGCCAGCAGCCGCGGUAAUACGUAGGUGGCAAGCGUUAUCCGGAAUUAUUGGGCGUAAAGCGCGCGUAGGCGGUUUCUUAAGUCUGAUGUGAAAGCCCACGGCUCAACCGUGGAGGGUCAUUGGAAACUGGGAAACUUGAGUGCAGAAGAGGAGAGUGGAAUUCCAUGUGUAGCGGUGAAAUGCGCAGAGAUAUGGAGGAACACCAGUGGCGAAGGCGGCUCUCUGGUCUGUAACUGACGCUGAUGUGCGAAAGCGUGGGGAUCAAACAGGAUUAGAUACCCUGGUAGUCCACGCCGUAAACGAUGAGUGCUAAGUGUUAGGGGGUUUCCGCCCCUUAGUGCUGCAGCUAACGCAUUAAGCACUCCGCCUGGGGAGUACGACCGCAAGGUUGAAACUCAAAGGAAUU
rnacentral:rRNA from 1 species